rnacentral:rRNA from 1 species
UACGUAGGUGGCAAGCGUUGUCCGGAUUUACUGGGCGUAAAGAGCGCGCAGGCGGUCGAGUAAGUCGAAUGUGAAAGCCCCCGGCUUAACUGGGGAGGGUCAUUCGAUACUGUUCGACUUGAAGGCAGGAGAGGGCAGCAGAAUUCCCGGUGUAGUGGUGAAAUGCGUAGAUAUCGGGAGGAACACCAGUGGCGAAGGCGGCUACCUGGCCCACUCUUGACGCUGAGGCGCGAAAGCUAGGGGAGCAAACGGG